UCUGGUCAGCGCCGCCGGUGAGUCCAACAGCAACCAUCCCAAUUGCUUCCGGGAAUCAGCUCCGCACCGCCACCACCGUUGCUUGUCACCUUUGCCGGUUCGUUGAAGACACAUCCACUCCACCAAGGUGAUUUCCGACGACGCAUAGUGUUGCUCUGCCUCCGUUUACGCCGCGGUGGAAGUCUCCCAUCGUCGAAGCACUAGCAAGCGCCGUUGCUGUUUGCCCUGCACAGCCUUUACCAGCGACGCUCCCAGUCUCGCCUCCGAGACGCGUCCCGCAGGGUGUCCCUCCUACGCCGUCGUCGCCGCAUUCACAGGUUAGUGGUAAUUCAUGAUUUUGAUAAACAAAGAUUGUUCUUGGCUUGUCUUGGGUGUAUGUCUCAGGGUUUCACUUUCAUACAAGAUGGUUCUUUUGCUAAUUUUAGGUAAUUUUAGGAGGAUUGAUAUAUGAGUUGAAUUUAAUUGUUAGCAUGAAAUUUGUUCAUUAUGAGCACCCAAAACUUCUGAAUCAAGAUCAUGCUUCAAUAAUCUACUUGAAAAGAAGAAGAUCUGCAAAUAGAAAGUGGUUAUAUUCACGACACCAACUUAAGUUACAUAGUAAACAUGUUUGUAUAUACAUUUUUUAAUUUUCUUCUUUAGGUGAAGGAUAUACAAAUUGAUUUGUGCGUGUAAUGAUAUAUGGAUCUUAAGGACAUACAAACCUAGAUGUGGAUGUCCAUCUAAGGAUUGAUGUAUAUCAAACAAUAAAAAUAACUAUAAUUAGUUUUUUAACUUUUCCAUUAAGAUGAUUGAUGAACGGAUAAUUUAUACGCUUUUUGGCAUUGUUUUUACAUAAUUAAGAUGAUUGAUGAACGGAUAAUUUAUACGCUUUUUGGCAUUGUUUUUACAUAAUUUUUAGUAUGAUUUAGUUAGUUUUUAGUAUAUUUUUAUUAGUUUUUAAAUAAAAAUAACAUUUCUGGACUUUACUAUGAGUUUGUGUGUUUUUCUGUGAUUUCAGGUAUUUUCUGGCUGAAAUUGAGGAACUUGAGCAAAAAUCAUAUUCAGAAGUUGAAGAAGGACUGCAGAUGCUGUUGGAUUCUGACCUUCCUGCACUCAAAGUGGAAUUUCUGGAGCUACAGAACUCCAAAUGGUGCGCUCUCAAUUGCGUUGGAAAGUAGACAUCUAGAGCUUUCCAGAAAUAUAUAAUAGUCCAUACUUUGCCCGAGUUUAGACGACGCAAACUGGCGUUCAACGCCAGUUCCAUGCUGCAUUCUGGAGUUAAACGCCAGAAACAGGUUACAAAUUGGAGUUAAACACCAGAAACAGGUUAUAAACUGGCGUUCAACUCCAAGAGAAGCCUCUACACGUGUAAAGCUCAAUGCUCAGCCCAAGCACACACCAAGUGGGCUCCGGAAGUGGAUUUCUGCAUCAUUUACUCAAUUCUAUAAACCUUAGUAACUAGUUUAGCAUAAAUAGGACUUUUUACUAUUGUAUUUACAUCUUCGAAUCAAUUUUAGUCUUUGUUACUCCGGUUCCCCUCUGGGGCCGAGACCAAUGAACUCCAUUAUCACUUAUGUAUUUUCAACGGUAGAGUUUCUACACACCAUAGAUUAAGGUGUGGAGCUCUGCUGUUCCUCAUGAAUUAAUACAAAGUACUGUUGUUUUUCUAUUCAAUUCAAGCUUAUUCCAAUUCUAAGAUAUUCAUUCACACUUCAAUAUGAAUGUGAUGAUCGUGACAUUCAUUAUCAUUCCCAACCUAUGAACGCGUGCCUGACAACCACUUCCGUUCUACCUUAGAUUGAAUGAGUAUCUCUGGGAUUCCUUAAUCAGAUUCUUCGUGGUAUAAGUUAGAAUCCAUGGACGGCCAUUCUUGAGAUCCGAAAAGUCUAAACCUUGUCUGUGGUAUUCCGAGUAGGAUCUGGAAAGGGAUGGUUGCGACGAGCUUCAAACUCGCGAGUGUUGGGCGUAGUGACAGACGCAAAAGGAUCAAUGGAUCCUAUUCCAGUAUGAUCGAGAACCGACAGAUGAUUAGCCAUGCAGUGACAGCGCAUUGGACCAUUUUCACUGAGAGGAAAGGAUGUAGCCAUUGACAACGGUGAUGCCUAACAUACAGCUUGCCAUAGAAAGGAGUAUGAAUGAUUGGAUGAAGACAAUAGAAAAGCAGAGGUUCAGGAGGAACGAACGCAUCUCUAUACGCUUAUCUGAAAUUCUCACCAAUGAAUUACAUAAGUAUCACUAUCUUUACUUUAUAUUUUAUUUAUCUUUUAAUUAUUAAAUCUCUAUAAUCAAUUGAAUCCGCCUGACUGAGAUUUACAAGGUGACCAUAGUUUGCUUCAAGUCGACAAUCUUCGUGAGAUCGACCCUUACUCACGUAAGGUUUAUUACUUGGACGACCCAGUGCACUUGCUGGUUAGUUGUGCGAAGUUGUGACAAAGAACUACGAUUAUGAACGUGCGUAUUGAGUUUUUAGCGCCGUUACCAAGGAAUGGAACCGUCACGAUUUCUGCGCACCAAGUUUUUGGCGCCGUUGCCGGGGAUUGUUCAAGUUUGGACAACUGACGGUUCAUCUUGUUGCUCAGAUUUGGUAAUUUUAUUUUAUUUUUAAAACUUUUUAUUUCUUAUUUUCGAAAAAAAAAACCAAAAAAAUUUACAAAAUCAUAAAAUCAAAAAUAAUUUGAUGUUUCUUGUUUGAGUCUAGUGUCUAAUUGUAAGUUUGGUGUCAAUUGCAUGCUUUUAACUUUUCUUAAAUUUUUGAAGAACAUAUGCAUUGAGUUUCUUUCUUGUUCUUCAUGGUCUUCAAGUUGUUCUUGACAAGUCUUCUUGUUUGAUCUUCAUAUUUUCUUGUUUUGUGUCUUUUCUUGUUUUUCACAUGCAUUUUCAAUUUCUUAGUGUCUGAAUAUUAAAAAUUUCUAAGUUUGGUGUCUUGCAUGUUUUCUUUUAUUGAAAAUUUUUCAAAAAUACAUACUUGAUGUUCAUCAUGAUCUUCAAAGUGUUCUUGGUGUUCAUCUUUGCAUUCAAAGUGUUCUUGCAUGUUUCCUUUGUUUAGAUCCAAAAUUUUUAUAUCUUGAGUCUUUUUGAUGUUUUUCUCUUUCUUUAUUAAAAUUCAAAAAUAAAAAAAUAUCUUUCCCUUUUUCACUCAUAAAUUUUCGAAAAUUUGAGUUGACUUUUUCAAAACUUUUUAAAAUUUAGUUGUUUCUUAUGAGUCAAAUCAAAUUUUCAAUUUAAAAAUUCUAUCUUUUUCAAAUCUUUUUUAAAAAUCAAAUCUUUUUCAAUUUUUCCUUCAUAUUUUCGAAAACUUUAUGAUUGAUUUUCAAAUUUUUUUUCUUAUUUGGUUCUAAACUUUCAAAAUCUUUACUAACAAUUAAUGUGAUUGAUUCAAAAUUUUUAAGUUUGUUACUUGCCUAAUAAGAAAGGUUCAAUCUUUAAACUCUAGAAUCAUAUCUUUUUAGUUUCUUGUUAGUUAAGUAAUCAACUUUGAUUUCAAAAUUCAAAUCUUUUCAAAUUUCUUUUUCAAAUCUUUUUUCAAAUUAAGUUUCAAUCAUAUCUUUUUCAAAAUCAAUUUCAAAAUCUUUUCUAACUUCUUAUCUUUUUAAAAAUUGAUUUUCAAAUCUUUUUCAAACUAAUCCUAUCUUUUUGUUUGAUUCUUAUCUUUUUUUCAAAACUACCUAACUAAUUAUAUCUCUAAUUUUCGAAUAUCACCUUCAUCUUUUUCAAAAUUUCUUUUUAAAUUAACUAAUUGUUUUAAAUUUAAUUUAAUUUGGUUUAAUUUUUCCUUUCUUAAUUUUCGAAUUUUUUAUUUUAAUUCUAAAUUAAAAACAAAAAUACUUUUAUUUUAUUUUAUCUAAUUUUCGAAAAUUCUUCUCCCUCACCUCCUUCUAUUUAUUUAUUUAUUUACUAAUACCCCUCUUUCACCCAAGAAUUCGAACCUACUUCUCACCCUUGUGUUUGGAUUCUCCUUCUUCUAUUCAUAUCUUCUUCUACUCACAUAAAGGAAUCUCUAUACUGUGACAUAGAGGAUUUCAUAUUUUCUGUUCUCUUCUUUUUCAUAUGAGCAGGAACAAGGAUAAGGACAUUCUUGUUGAAGCUGAUCCCGAACCUGAAAGAACUCUUAAGAGGAAGCUAAGGGAAGUUAAAGCACAACUCUUUGGAGAAAAUCUGACAGAAAUUUUAAAAAAAAAAGGAGACAUGGCCGAAAAUAAUAACAAUGCAAGGAAGAUGCUUGGUGACUUUACUACACCUAAUUCCAAUUUACAUGGAAGAAGCAUCUCAAUCCCUGCCAUUGGAGCAAACAAUUUUGAGCUGAAACCUCAACUAGUUUCUCUGAUGCAACAGAAUUGCAAGUUUUAUGGACUUCCAUCCGAAGAUCCCUUUCAGUUCUUAAUUGAAUUCUUGCAGAUCUGUGAUACUGUUAAGACCAAUGGGGUUGAUCCCGAGGUCUACAGGCUCAUGCUUUUCCCGUUUGCUGUAAGAGACAGAGCUAGAAUAUGGUUGGACUCUCAACCUAAAGAUAGCCUGAACUCUUAGGAUAAGUUGGUCACGACUUUCUUAGCCAAGUUCUUUCCUCCUCAAAAGCUUAGCAAGCUUAGAGUGGAUGUUCAGACCUUCAAACAAAAGGAAGGUGAAUCCCUCUAUGAAGCUUGCGAGAGAUACAAGGAACUGACCAAAAAGUGUCCUUCUGACNNNNNNNNNNNNNNNNNNNNNNNNNNNNNNNNNNNNNNNNNNNNNNNNNNNNNNNNNNNNNNNNNNNNNNNNNNNNNNNNNNNNNNNNNNNNNAGAUUCCAUUGAACCUCCUUCUGCCCUUCAUGAGCUCUAAUGAGUAUUUGUCCUCUGAAGAGGAUGAAAAAAUUACUGAAGAGCAAGUUGCUAAGUACCUUGGUGCAAUCAUGAAGCUAAAUGUCAAAUUAUUUGGUAAUGAGACUUGGGAAGAUGAACCUCCCUUGCUCACCAAUGAACUGAAUGCAUUGGAUAGGCAGAAAUUACCUCAAAAGAAAUAGGAUCCUGGUAAAUUCUUAAUACCAUGUACCAUAGGCACCAUGACCUUUGAGAAGGCUCCGUGUGACCUGGGGUCAGGAAUAAACUUAAUGCCACUCUCUAUAAUGGAGAAACUUGGGAUCUUUGAGGUGCAAGCUGCCAGAAUCUCAUUGGAGAUGGCAGACAACUCAAGAAAACAGGCUUAUGGACAAGUAGAGGACGUGUUAGUAAAGGUUGAAGGCCUUUACAUCCCUGCUGAUUUCAUAAUCCUAGACACUGGGAAGGAUGAGGAUGAAUCCAUCAUCCUUGGAAGACCCUUCCUAGCCACAGCAAGAGCUGUGAUUGAUGUGGACAGAGGAGAAUUGGUCCUCCAACUGAAUGAGGACAACCUUGUGUUUAAGAAUUAAGGAUCUCCUUUUGCAACCAUGCAGAGGAAGCAUGAAAAGCUUCUCUCACUGCAGAGUCAACCAAAGCCCCCACAGUCAAACUCUAAGUUUGGUGUUGGGAGGUUCCAACCUUGCUCUGAUUAUCUGUGAGGCUCCAUGAGAGCUCACUGUCAAGCUAUUGACAUUAAAGAAGCGCUUGUUGGGAGGCAACCCAAUGUUAUUUAAUCAUAUCUAUUUUAUUUUCUUUUUUUUAUUUCGUGUUUUAUUAGGUUGAUGAUCAUGUGAAGUCACAAAAACUACUGAAAAAUAAAAAACAGAAUAAAAAAUAGCAUUAAAAACAGCACACCCUGGAGGAGAGCAGUCUGGCAUUUAAACGCCAGAAACAAGCAUCUGUCUGGCGUUUAACGCCAGAAACAAGCAUCUGCCUGACGUUAAACGCCAGAAACAGGCUACAUUUGGGCGUUUAACGCCAAAAACAGGCAGCAGUCUGGCGUUAAACACCAAGAUUGCAAAGCAAGGGCAUUUUACACGCCUAAUUGGAGCAGCGAUGUUAAGUCCUUGACCCCACUUGAUCUGUGGACCCCACAGGAUCCCCACUUUUUCUUCUCUCCUCUUCACACAUUUUCGUAACUCUCUUCCCCAAAUACCCUUCACCAAUCACCUCAAUCACUCUUUCCCAUCACCUCUUCACCACUCACAUCCAUCCUCUCUUCCCCAUAAACCCCACCUACCUUCAAAAUUCAAACUAAUUUCCCUCCCAAACCCAACCCUAAUGGUCGAACCCUACACCCCCCCCCUCACUCCUAUAUAAACCCCUCACUCCUUCUUCAUUUUCACACAACACAACCCUCUCUUCUUCUCCUUGGCUGAAUACAUCUUCUUCCCCCAUCUCCUCCAUUUUCUUCUUCUUCUACUACUUUCUUUCUUAUUUUGCUCGGGGACGAGCAAACAUUUAAGUUUGGUGUGGUAAAAGUAUAGCUUUUUAUUUUUCCAUAACCAUUUAUGGCACCUAAGGCCAGAGAAACCUCUAGAAAGAGGAAAGGGAAGGCAAUUGCUUCCACCUCUGAGUCAUGGGAGAUGGAGAGAUUCAUCUCAAAGGUCCAUCAAGACCACUUCUAUGAAGUUGUGGCCAAGAAGAAAGUGAUCCCUGAGGUUCCUUUCAAGAUAAAAAAGAAUGAGUAUCCGGAGAUCCGACUUGAGAUCCAAAGAAGAGGUUGGGAAGCUCUCACCAACCCCAUUCAACAAGUCGGGAUCCUAAUGGUUCAAGAAUUCUAUGCAAACGCAUGGAUCACUAGGAACCAUGAUCAAAGUGUGAACCCGAAUCCAAAGCAUUGGCUCACCAUGGUUCGGGGGAAAUACUUAGAUUUCAGUCCGGAAAAUGUAAGGCUAGAGUUCAACUUGCCAAUGGUGGAAGAGAACGCACGCCCCUACACAAGAAGGGUCAACUUUGAUCAAAGGUUGGACCAAGUCCUCAUAGACAUAUGUGAGGAAGGAGCUCAAUGGAAAAUUGACUCAAGAGGCAAGCCGGUUCAAUUAAGAAGGCAUGACCUCAAACCAGUGGCUAGGGAAUGGCUAGAGUUCAUUCAACGCUCAAUUAUUCCUACUAGUAACCGGUCUAAAGUUACUAUAGACCGGACCAUCAUGAUCCAUAGUAUCAUGAUUGGAGAGGAGGUGGAAGUUCAUGAGAUUAUACCUCAAGAACUUUACAAGGUGGCUGACAAGUCCUCCACUUAGGCAAGGUUAGCCUUUCCUCACCUCAUAUGCCACCUCUGCAAUUCGGCUGGAAUUGACUUAGAGGGAGACAUCCUCAUUGAAAAGGACAAGCCCAUCACUAAGAAAAGGAUGGAGCAAACAAGAGAUCAUGGACCUCAACAAGAGUAUGAGAAAAUUCCUCACCAUGAAAUCCCUGAGAUGCCUCAAGGGAUGCACUUUCCUCCACAAAACUAUUGGGAGAAAAUCAACACCUCCCUAGGAAAAUUAAGUUCCAAUAUGGGACAACUAAGGGUGGAGCACCAAGAGCAUUCCAUCAUCCUCCAUGAAAUUAGAGAAGAUCAAAGAGCUAUGAGGGAGGAGCAACAAAGACAAGGAAGAGACAUAGAGGAGCUCAAAAGCACCAUUGGUGCUUCAAGAAGAGGAAGACGCCACCCUCACUAAGGUGGACUCAUUCCUUAAUCUCCUUGUCUAUUUAUUUUACUAUUUUUCGAUUUUUGAGCUUUAUGUUUUAUUUAUGUUUGUGCCUUUACUAUAUGAUCACUAGUAUCUAAGUGUCUAUGUCUUAAAGCUAUGAAUGUCCUAUGACUCCAUCACCUCUCUUAAAUGAAAACUGUUUUAAAAACAAAAGAACAAGAAGUACAGGGUUUCGAAUUCAUCCUUGAAACUAGUUUAAUUAUUUUGAUGUGGUGACAAUACUUUUUAUUUUCUGAAUGAAUGCUUGAACAGUGCAUAUGUCUUUUGAAUUUGAUGUUUAUGAAUGUUAAAUAUGUUGGCUCUUGAAGAAUAAGGAAAAAGGAGAAAUGUUAUUUGAUAAUCUAAAAAAUCAUAAAAAUGAUUCUUGAAGCAAGAAAAAGCAGUGAAUACAAAAGCUUGCAGAAAAAAAAUAGCAAAAAAAAAAAGAGAAAGAAAAAGAAAAGGCAAGCAAAAAGCCAAUAGCCCUUAAAACCAAAAGGCAAGGGUAAUAAAAAGGAUCCAAGGCUUUGAGCAUCAGUGGAUAGGAGGGCCUAAAGGAAUAAAAUCCUGGCCUAAGCGGCUAAACCAAGCUGUCCCUAACCAUGUGCUUGUGGCGUGAAGGUGUCAAGUGAAAACUUGAGACUGAGCGGUUAAAGUCAAGGUCCAAAGCAAAAAAAGAGUGUGCUUAAGAACCCUGGACACCUCUAAUUGAGGACUUUAGCAAAGCUGAGUCACAAUCUGAAAAGGUUCACCCAAUUAUGUGUCUGUGACAUUUAUGUAUCCGGUGGUAAUACUGGAAAACAAAGUGCUUAGGGCCACGGCCAAGACUCAUAAAGUAGCUGUGUUCAAAAAUCAACAUGCUGAACUAGGAGAAUCAAUAACACUAUCUGAAUUCUGAGUUCCUAUAGAUGCCAAUCAUUCUGAACUUCAAUGGAUAAAGUGAGAUGCCAAAACUAUUCAAGAGGCAAAAAGCUACUAGUCCCACUCAUCUAGUUGGAGCUAAGUUUCAUUGAUAUUUUGGAAUUUAUAGUAUAUUCUCUUCUUUUUAUCCUAUUUGAUUUUUAGUUGCUUGGGGACAAGCAACAAUUUAAGUUUGGUGUUGUGAUGAGCGGAUAAUUUAUACGCUUUUUGGCAUUGUUUUUACAUAGUUUUUAGUAUGAUUUAGUUAGUUUUUAGUAUAUUUUUAUUAAUUUUUAAAUAAAAGUCACAUUUCUGGACUUUACUAUGAGUUUGUGUGUUUUUCUGUGAUUUCAGGUAUUUUCUGGCUGCAAUUGAGGGACUUGAGCAAAAAUCAGAUUCAGAGGUUGAAGAAGGACUGCAAAUGUUGUUGGAUUCUGACCUUCCUGCACUCAAAGUGGAAUUUCUGGAGCUACAAAACUCCAAAUAGUGCACUCUCAAUUGCGUUGAAAAGUAGACAUCCAGGACUUUCCAGCAAUAUAUAAUAGUCCAUACUUUGCCCGAGUUUAGAUGGCUCAAACUGGCAUUCAAUGCCAGUUCCAUGUUGCAUUCUGGAGUUAAACGCCAGAAACAGGUUGCAAAAUGGAGUUAAACGCCAGAAACAGGUUAUAAACUGGCGUUCAACUCCAAGAGAAGCCUCUACACGUGUAAAGCUCAAUGCUCAGCCCAAGCACACACCAAGUGGGC
rnacentral:lncRNA from 1 species